UGGGGAAUAUUGCACAAUGGGCGCAAGCCUGAUGCAGCCAUGCCGCGUGUGUGAAGAAGGCCUUCGGGUUGUAAAGCACUUUCAGCGGGGAGGAAGGCGAUAAGGUUAAUAACCUCAUCGAUUGACGUUACCCGCAGAAGAAGCACCGGCUAACUCCGUGCCAGCAGCCGCGGUAAUACGGAGGGUGCAAGCGUUAAUCGGAAUUACUGGGCGUAAAGCGCACGCAGGCGGUCUGUCAAGUCGGAUGUGAAAUCCCCGGGCUCAACCUGGGAACUGCAUUCGAAACUGACAGGCUAGAGUCUUGUAGAGGGGGGUAGAAUUCCAGGUGUAGCGGUGAAAUGCGUAGAGAUCUGGAGGAAUACCGGUGGCGAAGGCGGCCCCCUGGACAAAGACUGACGCUCAGGUGCGAAAGCGUGGGGAGCAAACAGG
rnacentral:rRNA from 1 species